UCGCUGUUCAACUUAAAAAAAAUUAUAAUCCAUUUAACAUUUUAGGAUGAUCCAGACUCAUAAAUUGACCUGCACAGAUCAUCCAAGUUCCCUUAAAAUGGUCCUUGGAGCUGGGGACAAAAUAUGACCUGAACGUUGCAUUUAUAUCUGCACUGAAGGAGAAAAUAUUGUUAAGUUUGGAGAUGACAUGACAAUUGACAUGCAGCACCCUUGCAGCGCCCUUCUCACACUCCACGCUGCCUGGGCCAAAAAAAAAUAUGUGGGUUUUCGGUUUCUUCUUAUAAAAACUUAGGUAAGGUAGGUCGGUUUUAACUUUUUUUUUAAACUUUUUUUUUUAUUUUUCCGAACAAGCGGACGCCAUUUUGUUUAGUCAGUGCUUCCACAUCCAAAGAUAAAUUUCCCUAAUAUUGCCUCAAAUUUCAAUUUUCCACAAACUUUUUCCUCUAAGUGGAAACACUUACAAGCAUGAUCCAAUAAAAAAGUUUAGGGUCGGGAUUUCGACGUCCAAAAGCUAGGUAGGGUCGGAAAACCGGAAACCCACAUAUUUUUUUUUGCCCUACUAUGUUUUUAACAUCUCUUAGACUCUUACCCUCCAAAAUGGAAAGACGUUUUCUUGUCCAUUGAUAUAAUUUUGUGUGGCAUUAAAGAUGCUGCGGCGAAAAGAAUUUCACUGCAAAAUUUCAUGUCACAGCUUCAUGCG